rnacentral:rRNA from 1 species
GACGAACGCUGGCGGCGUGCUUAACACAUGCAAGUCGAACGGCAAGGCCCUGCUUUUGUGGUCUUCUCGAGUGGCGAACGGGUGAGUAACACGUGAGUAACCUGCCCUUGACUUUGGGAUAACUUCAGGAAACUGGGGCUACUCCCGUAUAGGAGCUCCUGCUCGGUUGUGGGGGUUGGAAAGUUUCGGCGGUUGGGGAUGGACUCGCGGCUUACGAGCUUGUUGGUGGGGUAGUGGCUUACCAAGGCUUUGAAGGGUAGCCGGCCUGAGAGGGUGAACGGGCACCUUGGGACUGAGAUACGGACCAGACUCCUACGGGAGGCAGCAGGGGGGAGUAUUACACAAUGGGCGGAAGCCUGAUGCAGCAACGCCGCGUGCGGGAUGACGGCCUUCGGGUUGUAAACCGCUUUCGCCUGUGACGAAGCGUGAGUGACGGUAAUGGGUAAAGAAGCACCGGCUAACUACGUG